UUCCUUUACAUUUUUUGGCACCCAAAAUGGGACUUGAGGAAAGGUUUCUGAUAACUUUGGAGACUGUGACAUUGGAAUAAAGGAAAAACAUACGGGACUCAUGAAGAGCUGAAAUGUUCAUGAACAUCAAGCAAAACAAGAGCCAACAGAAUGAACUCAGAAAACUGAAGCAACGUUUUUUAUUUUUGCUUGGAAUACUGCUGAUCCUUGUUUUGUUUUUCAGAGUCAAGGAAACUUAUUUUGAACUAUUAAUGGCCCUUAAUAAUUGAGUAAGGUCAUCAAAGUCCAAAUGGUCAUGCAACAGGAGCCUCAGACAAUGACACCUCUCUCUGAGGGAGAUCUGACUGCCAUUUUCCCAAAACAGCAUCCCCUGUCAGCAGGAAGAAGUUAAGAUCAGUCUUCAUCCUUACCUUUAUUCUUACUCUAAGGACAGUUAGAUGUACUUCUUUAGAAGGGGGAAUGGUAGAGACAGGAGGCAGCCAAGGGUUGCCCAGCAAAACCCCACCUUCAAGCCUAAAACAGCCUAAGGGCUGAAAAACCGGACUGCAGGCCCCAAAGAAACUCCAACCGGCCUGCACACUGGGAAAACAGGAUGGAGCCAUGGAAUGUCACGUCAUUCGCAAAGGAGCCAGUCUCUCGAGUUCCUGUAUGGUGGAGCGACAGCCAGCUAACAGGCUUCCCUCUCACUCUGCUGAAAGUUUUUCUCUCUUUUUCCUUGCUUGCCCAAUAAAUUCCGUUUCCCCUCACCCUUCAAAGUGUCUGCAAGCCUAAUCUUUCCUGGUCAUGUGAAAAGAACCCAGAUUUUCCUACAACCAUUUGACUAAUUAAAUGUGGAAUAAAUGAUAUUUUGCUAAUUCUGAGUAUAGUCCUAAAGAAGCCUUGCACACUUCUGCUUUCCCUCUUGGAAUCUUACUCAGCUGACAUUUGAAAUCCUGGGGCAAUUGGCUGGAGGAUGACAGACCACAUACAGAAGAGAUGAGACAUCUUAUCUGGGGCCAUCUUAAAAAAAAUCCAGCUCCCAGUCAAUCUAUCAGUUGACCACAUGAAUAUAAAUGAUUCCAGCAGAGAUCAGAAGAACUGGCUAGCUGAGCUAAGACUAAAUUGCUCAUCAGAGUAAGAAGAGUUAAAUAAAUGAAUACAAUUUUAA